UAGAGAUAAGUAAUAUUAAAAGAUUUACAAUCUUUAAAUAUUGAUGCAUAAGUAGUUUAAAAUAGAGCUAAAUGGCGAAAAAGGAUACAAUAGAGCAGACCCCAGCUAGUCUAGGAUUAAGACUUAGUUGUUAUUGUUGUUGUAUUCUAAAAAUGACAAGUCAAAAAGCAAAUUUUCAUUCGUUGAAUAAAGAUCAUCAAGAUGCACAAUAGGUACUAGUAUUGUAAAUGUAGUCAAAUGCUUGCAUAAAUUGAGCACUAGAUGCAAUAUGUUAGUUGUAAAUUAAAAUUAAGAAACAAAUGAAGCAAUCACGUUUGAGAUAUAAAUGAACAUUGUCCAUUUCCACAACACAGCAAAAUUGAUAAAAACCUACUACCAACGUAUCAUAUUUAGAAUAUAAAAUGAAUGCUAUAGAACAUCUUAAUUUCUCAAAUUUUAAGUCUUGCUUAGUUUUAAAAAAAAAAUAAGGAUAUUUUUUUUACACAAUAAAUUAGUGAAUUUUAGUAACCACAAAGGAAAACAAAAAUAAAAGUGAAAUUUUCUUAUACCUGAAUAUAGGUAUUCUACACACAUUUCAUAUGUUACCAAAAGGAAGUUACAACCUGCUAAUGACUUCAUAUGUUUACCAAAGAGAUUGUUAGAACUUACUAAUGACUCCAUGAAAUAACAUAUUUGAGAAACUGUGUCAUGGAGACAUUAAUAACUUCUAACAACUUCUGAUGUCAUGGAGACAUUUUAGAAUUUUAGUAGUUAACAAAAAAAAAAAAAAAAAAA
rnacentral:misc_RNA from 1 species